rnacentral:rRNA from 1 species
GAUGAACGCUGGCGGCGUGCCUAAUACAUGCAAGUCGAGCGAAUGGAUUAAGAGCUUACUCUUAUGAAGUUAGCGGCGGACGGGUGAGUAACACGUGGGUAACCUGCCCAUAAGACUGGGAUAACUCCGGGAAACCGGGGCUAAUACCGGAUAACAUUUUGAACCGCAUGGUUCGAAAUUGAAAGGCGGCUUCGGCUGUCACUUAUGGAUGGACCCGCGUCGCAUUAGCUAGUUGGUGGUAACGGCUCACCAAGGCAACGAUGCGUAGCCGACCUGAGAGGGUGAUCGGCCACACUGGGACUGAGACACGGCCCAGAAUCCUACGGGAGGCAGCAGUAGGGAAUCUUCCACAAUGGACGAAAGUCUGACGGAGCAACGCCGCGUGAGUGAUGAAGGCUUUCGGGUCGUAAAACUCUGUUGUUAGGGAAGAACAAGUGCUAGUUGAAUAAGCUGACACCUUGACGGUACCUAACCAGAAAGCCACGGCUAACUACGUGCCAGCCGCCGCAGUAA